rnacentral:rRNA from 1 species
GAAAUCGCACGGGCUAAUAUCCUGUGUGGAUGACGGUACCGGAAUAAGAAGCACCGGCUAACUACGUGCCAGCAGCCGCGGUAAUACGUUAGGGUGCGAGCGUUAAUCGGAAUUACUGGGCGUAAAGCGUGCGCAGGUCGGUUUGAUAAGACAGGCGUGAAAUCCCCGGGCUUAAACCUGGGAACUGCGCUUGUGACUGUCUCACUAGAGUACGGCAGAGGGGGGUUGGAAUUCCACGUGUAGCAGUGAAAUGCGUAGAGAUGUGGAGGAACACCGAUGGCGAAGGCAGCCCCCUGGGCCGAUACUGACGCUCAUGCACGAAAGCGUGGGGAGCAAAACAGGAUUAGAUACCCUGGUAGUCCACGCCCUAAACGAUGUCUACUAGUUGUUGGGGUAGCAAUACCUCAGUGACGCAGCUAACGCGUGAAGUAGACCGCCUGGGGAGUACGGUCGCAAGAUUAAAACUCAAAGGAAUUGACGGGGGCCCGCACAAGCGGUGGAUUAUGUGGAUUAA